CAGGUGGCGCAGGUCGUUUCGAACCCAGCGAGGAGGGAGAGCCUUUGGUGAAGGCGGACAGAAGCGACUCUGGGGUCAUCGGAGGUGUGAUAGCAGUUGUGAUAUUUAUUUUGCUCUGCAUCUCUGCUAUAGCCAUAUGCAUUUACCAACAGAAAAAUUUAUGCAAAGAAAAUGAAUCAAAAGUUUCAAAAGACGAAGAGUGCUAGGACCACUCAGCGAAGUGCACGUUUCAAGACACAGUCCUGAGAGACAAUGUCUUCUGGUUGGCAGUGGGCUGAUCUACCCCAUCCACUGUGGACCGUCCUGAUCUGGUCAUCCCUGUGGGUGGGCCAGUGCUAACCAUCUGCUGAGGACCUGGGGUGCUGAGAGGCCCGUUCUGCCUUGGUGGACCCCUCCCUCCAGUGCAAUUUAUAUGACAGUGAAGGAGGAAUCCUCAUUCAUCAUGGUGGAGUAGUUUGCCCCAGAAGGAAUGCUCUCU